GCAAGUCGAGCGAUUCACUUCGGUGAAGAGCGGCGGACGGGUGAGUAACGCGUGGGUAACCUGCCUCAUACACAUGGAUAACAUACCGAAAGGUAUAGCUAAUACAGGAUAAUAUAAGAGAUUCACAUGUAUUCUUAUCAAAGCUCCGGCGGUAUGAGAUGGACCCGCGUCUGAUUAGCUAGUUGGUAAGGUAACGGCUUACCAAGGCGACGAUCAGUAGCCGACCUGAGAGGGUGAUCGGCCACAUUGGAACUGAGACACGGUCCAAACUCCUACGGGAGGCAGCAGUGGGGAAUAUUGCACAAUGGGCGAAAGCCUGAUGCCAGCAACGCCGCGUGAGUGAUGAAGGCCUUCGGGUCGUAAAACUCUGUCCUCAAGGAAGAUAAUGACGGUACUUGAGGAGGAAGCCCCGGCUAACUACGUGCCAGCCGCAGC
rnacentral:rRNA from 1 species